UGCGCACCGGCGGCGCCGACCGGCUCGCCGCCGCCGAGGACCACUACGUGGCGCUGCAGCGCGAGGUGGUCUCGCGCCAGCAGGGUUUCCCGCUGACGGCCGCCGUUAUCGUCAUCGCCGCGCUCACGGUCACGGUCGUCGCCGCCACCGUCAUCGGCGCCAUCGUGUACCGGCGGAAGAGCACAGGCAACUCAACGGACGAAGCCGCGUCAUCCUCGGUCGACAGCGGCGCCAUCUGCAACGGUCGCAGUCUGCACGAGCAGCUGGGCCGGCAGCAGCCCAGCCAGCAGCCCGCCUUCAGGUGGAACUUCUGAUCGACGCCGGCAGGUGGCAGGCCAACAGUAGUUCUCAACGUCACCAGCAGAUGGCAUGUUUACCGAGCCGUCCGUUUCGCGCGCCGCGGGGCCCGCGCGCGCUCUCCGAGUGAUCCACGACAAGCGUGAGAAGAAGCCAAAACAUUCGGGCGUGACCCGGCAAACGGUGCGGGCGGCCCGGGCCUCUGAUAUCCGUGAGUGUGUGUCCAGACGUAAACGUUAUUUAUUACCUACUGCUGUCGAGGUGCAUGCUAAUGUGGUGGCCACCGCCGGGCUCGUGUUAUUGCUAGCGCUGUUGAAGAGUCGGCGGCCAAUGUGACAGAUUUCAAAUGGACUACGAGGUCUCGAGACUUAUUACGACAUGCAGUGUGCAAAUGUGUAAAUAGCAGUGUAUGGCAGCGUUAAACAAUGUAUGUGAAAACUGAAUGCCGAUAUUCGAGCUGACGUUCGAAUAAAGUAACAAAUGAUGCCCA